rnacentral:rRNA from 1 species
UACAGGGGGUGCAAACGUUGCUCGGAAUCAUUGGGCGUAAAGCGCACGUAGGCGGUUCGUUAUGUCGGAUGUGAAAGCCCUUGGCUUAACCGAGGAAGUGCAUCCGAAACUGGCGAGCUAGAGUACUAAAGAGGAUCGCGGAAUUCCCGGUGUAGAGGUGAAAUUCGUAGAUAUCGGGAGGAACACCGGUGGCGAAGGCAGCCCCCUGGGCUAACACUGACGCUCAUGCACGAAAGCGUGGGGAGCAAACAGG